GGCCUCCCCGUUCGCCUCCCAGAGGCCGCCACUUUCUUCAGGGCUAUCAGAUGAAGGCAGCAACGAAAACACCACCACAAGACCAACUUCAGGCUGGAGCUGAUGAUGCCACACAGCAAAUCAGCGAGAAAAAAGAAAAUAGACUCUACUUAGAAAUGAAACUCAACUAAAGGUAAAAGUUGUCAGGAACAUCUCCAAGAAAGCCAGAGUCAGCCUCUAAACUUUGCAUCAAGAACGCAAUGGCUUCCCUGAGGGCCCAGGGACGCGUGGCAGCUGUGAGGCAGCCCCUUCUCUGCUGUCGAGGAACUGGACACUUCUCCUGUCCCUUCCCACAAGGUAUAAUAUUAGGCAGAAACCCAAUAUAAAAAGAAAAGCAGAGUUGUUGUAGAUUCAUCGAGGGUUGGCGACCUGGUUCCAAUGAGCCAUCUCCCUGUUCCGACAGGGGCUUCCUGGAGCUCCUGCAACCCCAGGCAUUAGUUCCGGUGCAGUUCUAGGAUCAGAUCAAUUCACUCGACAACAAGAGAAACAAAUGGAGAUUCCUACACAAAGACUUUCAAGCACAAAGAAAUCCUGCUGCCUGUAAAGCGGAGCUGCCUCAGCCCUUGAUGAACGACAGAAAAUACCACCUACUGCCAGACCUCAACGCCUCACAAAACUCUCACCCACCUACUGCUUUUAGCUCACAUUCCAGGAAUUCAGAUGAAGUGAAGUGCUCUCAUGGGGACCAGGCAUGGUUAUGCCAGUCCACUGCCCUGCAAGCCUCAAGGGAAGCCAACUGCCCUUCAGCAAGUCACACCUGCCUUGGUGGAGG
rnacentral:lncRNA from 1 species